CCUACGGGAGGCAGCAGUGGGGAAUCUUGCGCAAUGGGCGAAAGCCUGACGCAGCAACGCCGCGUGGGUGAUGAAGGUCUUCGGAUUGUAAAACCCUGUCGUUAGGGACGAAGACAUGAAUCCUAAUACGAUUCAUGUUUGACGGUACCUAGAAAGGAAGCCCCGGCUAACUCUGUGCCAGCAGCCGCGGUAAUACAGAGGGGGCAAGCGUUAUUCGGAAUUAUUGGGCGUAAAGGGUGCGUAGGCGGUUUUCUAAGUCAGAUGUGUAAUCCCCGAGCUCAACUUGGGAACUGCAUCUGAAACUGGGAGACUAGAGUACUGGAGAGGAUGGUGGAAUUCCACGUGUAGCGGUAAAAUGCGCAGAGAUGUGGAGGAACACCAGUGGCGAAGGCGGCCAUCUGGACAGUAACUGACGCUGAAGCACGAAAGUGUGGGUAGCAAACAGGAUUAGAUACCCUGGUAGUCCACACCGUAAACGAUGAACACUUGGUGUAGUGGGAGUUGACCCCCGACUGUGCCGUAGCUAACGCGAUAAGUGUUCCGCCUGGGGAGUCGGUCGCAAGGCUGAACUNAAAGGAAUUGACGGCUGAGAGNGCGAGCGACGACGAGGGAGGAGG
rnacentral:rRNA from 1 species